GCUGGAAAAGAAAAUAUAGGCAUAAGUAACGAUAAUGCGGGUGAGAAACCCGCACACCGAAAGACUAAGGUUUCCUGAUCAACGCUAAUCGGAUCAGGGUUAGUCGGGGCCUAAGACAAACCCGAAAGGGGUAGUCGAUGGACAACUGUUUAAUAUUACAGUACCAGCUUUCAUUAAAAAGGGGACGGAACAUUAUAAGAUUCGCGUACCGACGGAAUAGUACGUUAAAUCCUGCUAGGCAGGAGAUAGUACACCAAGCCUUCGGGUGAGGUGAUAGUAAUCGGAUCGUGUUUCCAAGAAAAGCCGAAGAAAGCUGCCCGUACCGCAAACCGACACAGGUAGUCGAGGAGAGAAUCCAAAGGUGCUCGAGUGAAUCAUGGCUAAGGAACUAGGCAAAUUAACCCUGUAACUUCGGGAGAAAGGGUCCCUACAGCAAUGUAGGGCGCAGUGAAACGGCCCAGGCGACUGUUUAUCAAAAACACAUGGCUCUGCUAAAUCGAAAGAUGACGUAUAGGGCCUGACACCUGCCCGGUGCUGGAAGGUUAAGAGGAGAGGUUAGGAGUAAUCCGAAGCUUUGAAUUGAAGCCCCAGUAAACGGCGGCCGUAACAAUAACGGUCCUAAGGUAGCGAAAUUCCUUGUCGGGUAAGUUCCGACCUGCACGAAUGGUGUAACGAUCUGGGCACUGUCUCAGCCAUGAACUCGGUGAAAUUGUAGAUCCGGUGAAGAUGCCGGAUACCCGCAACGGGACGAAAAGACCCCGUGAACCUUCACUACAGCUUAACAUUGACAUUGGAUAAACAAUGUGUAGGAUAGGUGGGAGGCUGCGAAGCGGUUUCGCCAGGAAUCGUGGAGCCACCGUUGAAAUACCACCCUUUGUUUAUUCGAUGCCUAAUCCCGGUUAUUCGGGAGACAGUGUUUGGUGGGUAGUUUGACUGGGGUGGUCGCCUCCAAAAGCGUAUCGGAGGCUUCCAAAGGUACCCUCAGCAUGCUUGGUAACCAUGCGUAGAGUGCAAUAGCAUAAGGGUGCUUGACUGUGAGACUUACAAGUCGAGCAGGAACGAAAGUUGGGUAUAGUGAUCCGGCGGUUCCGUAUGGAAGGGCCGUCGCUCAAAGGAUAAAAGGUACUCCGGGGAUAACAGGCUGAUCACUCCCAAGAGCUCACAUCGACGGAGUGGUUUGGCACCUCGAUGUCGGCUCGUCACAUCCUGGGGCCGAAGAAGGUCCCAAGGGUUCGGCUGUUCGCCGAUUAAAGUGGCACGCGAGCUGGGUUCAGAACGUCGCGAGACAGUUCGGUCUCUAUCUGUUGUGGGCGUUGGAAACUUGAGAGGACCUGACCUUAGUACGAGGGGACCGGGUUGGACAAACCUCUGGUGUAUCUGUUGUAGCGCCAGCUGCAUCGCAGAGUAGCUAUGUUUGGAUGAGAUAAGUGCUGAAAGCAUCUAAGCACGAAACUCACCUCAAGAUGAGGUUUCCUUUAAGGGCCGUUCAAGACUAGGACGUUGAUAGGCUGCAGGUGUAAAGAUGGUAACAUCUGAGCCGAGCAGUACUAAUUGCUC
rnacentral:rRNA from 1 species